AGUAAUGCUUGGGAAUCUAGCUUAUGGAGGGGGAUAACUACGGGAAACUGUAGCUAAUGCCGCGUAGUAUCGGAAGAUGAAAGUGUGGGACCUUCGGGCCACAUGCCAUAGGAUGAGCCCAAGUGGGAUUAGGUAGUUGGUGAGGUAAAGGCUCACCAAGCCGACGAUCUCUAGCUGGUCUGAGAGGAUGACCAGCCACACUGGGACUGAGACACGGCCCAG
rnacentral:rRNA from 1 species